rnacentral:tRNA from 1 species
GGAGAGGUGUCCGAGUUGGCUGAAGGAGCACGACUGGAAAUCGUGUAGAUGCUCAAAAGGUGUCUCGGGGGUUCGAAUCCCCCCCUCUCCGCCA